GCUGCCCUAGUUUAUUUAAAAUGUUGCGCUGUGGCUGUAAAGAAAAACUAAGUUUGGGUGGUA
rnacentral:tRNA from 1 species